rnacentral:lncRNA from 1 species
CUGGUUAGGCAUCUCUUUCUCACAACAUGAAGAUCCUAUAACUCAUUUCUUCCAACAUGAGUGUUACCACUUGAGAAAGGGAGGUUUGCUUGCCUGGUGGGUGGGGUGGUGUGCUUCGGUGUGGGAACUGUGAAACCAUAGAAAUUGAAUCAUCUUUGAUCAAAGUUUACUACAUGUUGAUAAGGUGUUCAAAAAUCUUGCAUUUAAAUCUUGGAUGUGGAACACCAACAAAUCUAAGUCUUUCUUUUUCUCAUUCUAUGAAUGGUAUAAGUGUCCACUGGUAUGCUUACAGAGUUUGUAGCAGAAGGUAUGGUGUGGCCUAACUGAAUGUGUUUGGAGAUAUCAUCUCAUGUACUCGACACAUGCAGGGAGACAUGCUACUGUUUGUUUGUAUUGGGCCUUGUGGAGUUGUGGAUUAGUGCGUCUACAAGGUGCCUUGAUGGCAAUAUGUGUGUGGCUGAUUAUAAUGGCAGAAUAUUAGUGGGGCAAAUUUCUAAGUUAUCAAAAUUGGUGUUGCCGAAAGCGUGG